GUACACGCUGUGACUAGCAUAUCAAUAAGCGGAGGAAAAGAAACUAACAAGGAUUCCCCUAGUAACGGCGAGUGAAGCGGGAAGAGCUCAAAUUUGAAAUCUUAAAGGGUUUCCCUUUACGAAUCGUAGUUUAAUGAAGUGUUUUCUGUUGAGGUUUUGGUAAAAGUUCUUUGGAAUAGGACAUCAUAGAGGGUGAGAAUCCCGUAUUUGACCUUUACUUUCAACUUUGUGAUACACUUUCAAAGAGUCGGAUUGUUUGGGAAUGCAGUCCAAAAUGGGUGGUAAAUUUCAUCUAAAGCUAAAUAUUGGCGAGAGACCGAUAGCGAACAAGUACCGUGAGGGAAAGAUGAAAAGAACUUUGAAAAGAGAGUUAAACAGUACGUGAAAUUGUCAAAAGGGAAGCGUUUGACACCAGUGUUGUUUUUCUGAAAAUCAAUUAAAGAACUGUUUAUGCUAAGUUGUUUAGACUUUAUCAGCUAACUGUUUAGUUUUGAGCUUUUCUUUAAUGCACUUUUCAGUUAACAAGUCAACAUCAAUUUCUUUUGCUGUAAAAAAGCUUGAGGAAGGUGGCUUGAGAUUCGUCUUAAGUGUUUAUAGCCUCUUGCCUAUGCAGUCGGAGAGAUUGAGGUCUGCAGCGUAGAUCCUUCGGGGCUAAAUGCAUUUGUGCUAAGUUAUAGCAUUUUAUAGACAACUUGUUGACUAUGAUUUGUCUUGUAGCUUACUCGCUUAUGUUAUUUUACCUACGCUUAGGAUGUUGACGCGCGUGUGUGCGUG
rnacentral:rRNA from 1 species